rnacentral:piRNA from 1 species
UGAAGGAUGUCUUAAGCAUUAAUUACACUCU